UACGUAGGGACCAAGCGUUGUUCGGAUUUACUGGGCGUAAAGGGCGCGUAGGCGGCUUGUCAAGUCACUUGUGAAAUCUCUGGACUUAACCCAGAACGGCCAAGUGAAACUGACAUGCUAGAGUGCAGAAGGGGCAAUCGGAAUUCUUGGUGUAGCGGUGAAAUGCGUAGAUAUCUGGAGGAACACCGGUAGCGAAGGCGGCAUCCUGGACCGACAUUGACGCUGAGGCGCGAAAGCCAGGGGAGCAAACGGG
rnacentral:rRNA from 1 species